GAAUAUUUGACAAUGGGCGAAAGCCUGAUCCAGCCAUGCCGUGUGUGUGAAGAAGGUCUUCGGAUUGUAAAGCACUCUAAGUUGGGAGGAAGGGCAGUAAGCGAAUACCUUGCUGUUUUGUCGUUACUGACAGAAUAAGCACCGGCUAACUCUGUGCCGGCCGCCGCGGUAAUACAGAGGGUGCAAGCGUUAAUCGGAAUUACUGGGCGAAAAGCGCGCUGAGGUGGUUCGUUAAGUUGGAGGUGAAAUCCCCGGGCUCAACCUGGGAACUGCAUCCAAAACUGGCGAGCUAGAGUAGGGCAGAGGGUGGUGGAAUUUCCUGUGUAGCGGUGAAAUGCGUAGAUAUAGGAAGGAACACCAGUGGCGAAGGCGACCACCUGGGCUCAUACUGACACUGAGGUGCGAAAGCGUGGGGAGCAAACA
rnacentral:rRNA from 1 species